GAUGAACGCUGGCGGCGUGCCUAACACAUGCAAGUGGAGCGACGAACCUCCUUCGGGAGGGGCAAAGCCGCGAACGGGUGAGUAACACGUGGGUUAUCUGCCCCAAUGACCGGGACAACUCGAGGAAACUCGAGCUAAUACCGGAUGUGCUCUUCGGAGGAAAGGAAGCUUCGGCCUCCGCAUUGGGAUGAGCCCGCGGCGCAUUAGCUAGUUGGUGAGGUAACGGCUCACCAAGGCGACGAUGAGUAGCUGGACCGAGAGGACGAUCAGCCCCACCGGAACUGAGACGCUGUCCAGACUGCUACGGGAGGCAGCAGUGGGGAAUCUUGCGCAAUGCACGAAAGUGUGACGCAGGAACGCCGCGUGCGGGAAGAAGGUCUUCGGAUCGUAAACCGCUUUCAGUUGGGACGAGGGUUACACGGUGAAUAGCCGGCGUAACUGACGGUACCUUCAGAAGAAGCCCCGGCUAACUACGUGCCAGCCGCCGCCGUAA
rnacentral:rRNA from 1 species